rnacentral:rRNA from 1 species
CGUGUAGGCGGCUAUGCAAGUCGGAUGUGAAAGCCCUCGGCUCAACCGGGGAAGUGCACCCGAAACUGCAAAGCUAGAGUCUCGGAGAGGAUCGUGGAAUUCUCGGUGUAGAGGUGAAAUUCGUAGAUAUCGAGAGGAACACCGGUGGCGAAGGCGGCGAUCUGGACGAUGACUGACGCUGAGAGCGAAAGCGUGGGGAGCAAACA